UGGCUUCCCCCCACCCACCACGCUGUCCUUAAAAACUCUCAUCCCCCAGUGCUCGGGGAGACUGAUUUGAGUAACGAUAAAACUCCGGUCUCCUGCACAGCCGGCUCUGCAUGAAUUAUUCUUUCUCCACUGCAAUUCCUCUGUCUUGAUAAAAUGGCGCUAUCUACACAGCAGGCAAGGUGAACUCUUUGGGCGGUUACAGAGAUUGUAAUGUAUCCAUCACAUUUUUACAAGUUUUACUAAGACAGGAUAAGAAUCUCAGGUUUGGAGCAGGACAUUUUGAAUGGAGCUUUCUCUGCCAUCUGCCCGGCCAUAUGACCCAGGGUCUCUGGACUCCCAGGGACACAGGCAGCCCAAAGGCAGUUCUGUCUUAUCUCAAGCCUAGGAAGAUAAGAUAAUGUGCUGGGAUAAUCCCUGAGAAGUUUCCUUCUCCUCCAGCUUAAAGAGGUAAAAGGAAAAUAAAAAUCUCAGGACCCCAAACUCACUAUGCCAAAAAGAAGAGUUAAGCUUGGGAACUGGGUCACCCAAAACUACCUCCCAGUGUCUUCCUAAAUAGACAGAUGCAAAGACAGAAGGCCACUCCCCUCCCCAGGGGGCCCCCCUCACUGUUUGCUCACAAGGAAAUACAUUGUGGUCCCCAAGAUCAUGGGGUUUCGCUCUUGUUGCCCAG
rnacentral:lncRNA from 10 species